rnacentral:tRNA from 1 species
GGAGAGGUACCGAAGCGGUCAUAACGGCGCCGACUCGAAAUCGGAUGGGGCGAAAGCCCACGAGGGUUCGAAUCCUCCUCUCCGCCA